GUCGGUGUCUAUUGCUGUGAGGGUCCACCCGUUCCCAUUCCGAACACGGUAGUUAAGCUCACACGCGCCAACGAUACUUGGAUCGAUGGAUCCCGGGAAAAUAGGUCGUCGCCGACA
rnacentral:rRNA from 1 species